AUGAAUCUCCUUGCCUGGAACUGUCGAGGAUUGGGGUUGGACUCGACAGUGGGCGAACUGCGAGACCUCAUUAGGUCUCACAACCCAGCGGUGGUGUUCCUUUCAGAAACAAAAAAAUCAGCUAGAGCAAUGGAAUGGUUGAAAUGGAGUCUGGGAUUCACUAGUGGAGUUGCGGUAAGUUGCAAGGGAAGAAGUGGGGGAUUGGCAUUGUGA
rnacentral:rRNA from 1 species